AGGAAACGGAUGCGAAUACGAACACUAAAGGUUGUACGAGUCACGAGGAUCUUCAAGGAUUAGAGAUCGAGGAUCGAGUCACAAGACAGAUUGUACGGAAACGUUGGUGUUGAAAUUUAGAAAAACCAUGUCAUGCAUUUAAUUGUAAAUGAGUCAAUUGAUGACUUCAUGUGAAAAGGUUGUAUUAAAAUGAAGUUUUAAGUAAGUCAAGGUAAUUAUAAGGAAAGAAAGUUUAUGGCU